rnacentral:rRNA from 1 species
GGGUGGUAAUGCCGGAUGUUCCACAUGAUCGCAUGUGAUUGUGGGAAAGAUUCUAUCGGCGUGGGAUGGGGUCGCGUCCUAUCAGCUUGUUGGUGAGGUAACGGCUCACCAAGGCUUCGACGGGUAGCCGGCCUGAGAGGGCGACCGGCCACAUUGGGACUGAGAUACGGCCCAGACUCCUACGGGAGGCAGCAGUGGGGAAUAUUGCACAAUGGGCGCAAGCCUGAUGCAGCGACGCCGCGUGAGGGAUGGAGGCCUUCGGGUUGUAAACCUCUUUUGUUUGGGAGCAAGCCUUCGGGUGAGUGUACCUUUCGAAUAAGCGCCGGCUAACUACGUGCCAGCAGCCGCGGUAAUACGUAGGGCGCAAGCGUUAUCCGGAUUUAUUGGGCGUAAAGGGCUCGUAGGCGGCUCGUCGCGUCCGGUGUGAAAGUCCAUCGCUUAACGGUGGAUCUGCGCCGGGUACGGGCGGGCUGGAGUGCGGUAGGGGAGACUGGAAUUCCCGGUGUAACGGUGGAAUGUGUAGAUAUCGGAAAAGAACA